UACGGAGGGGACUAGCGUUGUUCGGAAUUACUGGGCGUAAAGCGCGCGUAGGCGGAUCGUUAAGUCAGGGGUGAAAUCCCGGGGCUCAACCCCGGAACUGCCCUUGAUACUGGCGGUCUUGAGUUCGAGAGAGGUGAGUGGAAUUCCGAGUGUAGAGGUGAAAUUCGUAGAUAUUCGGAAGAACACCAGUGGCGAAGGCGACUCACUGGCUCGAUACUGACGCUGAGGCGCGAAAGCAUGGGUAGCAAACAGG
rnacentral:misc_RNA from 1 species